rnacentral:miRNA from 1 species
GGCAUGGGAGGAGUUGG